AAUAUACAAGGUGCUGCAUGGUUGUCGUCAGCUCGUGCCGUGAGGUGUCGGGUUAAGUCCCAUAACGAGCGCAACCCCUACCUUUAGUUGCCAUCAGGUUAAGCUGGGGACUCUAAAGGAACUGCCUACGCAAGUAGUGAGGAAGGCGGGGAUGACGUCAAAUCAGCACGGCCCUUACGUCCAGGGCUACACACGUGCUACAAUGGCCGAUACAGAGGGCAGCUACCUGGUGACAGGAUGCAAAUCUCCAAAGUCGGUCUCAGUUCGGAUCGGAGUCUGCAACCCGACUCCGUGAAGUUGGAUUCGCUAGUAAUCGCGCAUCAGCCAUGGCGCGGUGAAUACGUUCCCGGGCCUU
rnacentral:rRNA from 1 species